GACGAACGCUGGCGGCGUGCUUAACACAUGCAAGUCGAACGGAAAGGCCCUGCUUGCAGGGUACUCGAGUGGCGAACGGGUGAGUAACACGUGGGUGAUCUGCCCUGCACUUCGGGAUAAGCCUGGGAAACUGGGUCUAAUACCGGAUAGGAGCCAUUUUUAGUGUGAUGGUUGGAAAGUUUUUUCGGUUUAGGAUGAGCUCGCGGCCUAUCAGCUUGUUGGUGGGGUAAUGGCCUACCAAGGCGGCGACGGGUAGCCGGCCUGAGAGGGUGGACGGCCACAUUGAGACUGAGAUACGGCCCAGGCUCCUACGGGAGGGAGAAGUGGGAAAGAUUGAACAAUGGGCGCAGGCCUGAUGCAGCGACGCCGCGUGGGGGAUGACGGCCUUCGGGUUGUAAACUCCUUUCGCUAGGGACGAAGCUUUUUGUGACGGUACCUAGAUAAGAAGCACCGGCUAACUACGUG
rnacentral:rRNA from 1 species